AUGGGGCGGAGGCAGGAACCAGGUAAGGCGCGGGGAGAGCAGCGAGCCGCGAGGCGGACCAAGCGGAGCCCAGACCCGGCCGCCCGCGCCUCCACGCAGGCCACCGCCCCGACCGCUCUCACUGCGCGCAGCCGUGGGAACCCGGGAGGGGCCUCCUCUCGCUCCCCGCUUCUGGGGGCGCUCGGCCCGCCAAUGGCAUCAGCCUUGCAGGGAGGAGACGGCAGGCAGACGGCUCAGGGGCAGGUCAGGCCUCCACACGCGGCUGGUGCACGGCUGUCUGCGGCAGGACCUGCGCGGGCCUCACCGGAAACAGCGCUGGCGGGCUGUGGGUCCUCAGCACGUGUCCGGUGCCGCAGCGGGUCGGGAACUGUUCCUUCCGGUGAGGCAGCGGGGGUCGGGGACGUGUUCCUUCCGGUGCCGCUGCGGGGUCGGGAACUGUUCCUUCCGGUGCCGCAGGGGGGCAGGGGGUCGGGAACGUGUUCCUUCCGGUGCCGGUGCCGCAGGGGGUCGGGAACUGUUCCUUCCGGUGCCGCAUCCGGGUCGGGAACUUGUUCCGGUGCCACAUCGGGUUCGGGAACGUGUUCCUUCCGGUGCCGCAGCGGGGUCGGAAACCUGUUCCUUCCGGUGCCGGUGCCGCAGCGGGGUCGGGAACUGUUCCUUCCUGUGCCGCAGGGGGUCGGGAACGUUCCUUCCGGUGCCGUAGGGGGUCGGGAACUGUUCCUUCCGGUGCCGCAGAGGGUCGGGGACGUGUUCCUUCCGGUGCCGCAUCCAGGGUCGGGAAUGUGUUCCUUCCGGUGCCGCGGCGGAUGGGGGACGUGUUCCUUCGGUGGGGCGGGAUGGGGACUCUGGGUUGCUGUGCUCUGCUGCUCCUGUGGAUUUGCCGCCACAUCAGCACCGUGCUGGGGCGUCAGUGGCCUCCUCCCACUGCAUACGCACCGUCACGUCCCGUCUCUCCCUGGCCCCUUGUCUCCCGGUGUCUGUGCGUGCCCGUCUGCUGAGAUGAGGCAGUCCGAGGAGGCCGUUGGCUGCACCUGCCCCGUUCUGGGGCAUCCUCGCUCCUCUGCAGUUCGGUGGUGUCUCUGCUUCUUACUCUGUCCUGUAGUGCUGAGCACCCGCCCGCCGACGCCGAGUUCCCGGCUCUGUUCCGGUAGUCCCGUCCGAGGGAGUUUUGGCAGGACAUGGGCCGGCUGCCUGGUGGCCGUGUCCACCCAGCUGUCACAUCAUUGUCUCGGGCCCCGUCUGCACACCUGA
rnacentral:lncRNA from 1 species